UACGUAGGGCGCAAGCGUCGUCCGGAUUUAUUGGGCGUAAAGAGCUCGUAGGCGGUCCGUCACGUCGGCUGUGAAAACCCGAGGCUCAACCUCGGGCCUGCAGUCGAUACGGGCGGACUAGAGUGCGGUAGGGGAGACUGGAAUUCCUGGUGUAGCGGUGAAAUGCGCAGAUAUCAGGAGGAACACCGGUGGCGAAGGCGGGUCUCUGGGCCGUAACUGACGCUGAGGAGCGAAAGCGUGGGGAGCGAACAGG
rnacentral:rRNA from 1 species